AAGAACGUAAACUCAGUAGAACAUAGUGUGACGCACGUCGGAUUUAUGAAUGUUUGUAUUUUCAGGUUUCACAACCGUUUGAGCUGGUUGGAAUGGACCUAAUAGGGAAAGUGAAAGUCACUACAUCUGUGUGAUGACUGACUAUUACACCAAAUGGACACAGGCAUACCCGAUUACCUCAUAAACGGCAGAAGAGACAAACAAGAGCGUCUGUGAAAACCUUGGGAUUGAAACAAGUCUGCACACCAUACCAUCCACAGACAAACUGUUUGGUAAAAAGAAUGAACGGCACUAUCCAAUGAUCUCUGUGCAAACUUGUGGAGUCCAAACCAGAAACUUGGGACGAAUUUCUGGACACAGUAAUGUUUGAACAUUUUGUUUGUGGUUAGUAAAGUGUUGCAAUUCAUUUUUCUACUUGUCUAUGUCUUUUCUUUCUUAGAUUGAUCCAGAAAAAUUUAAGAUAAUUGUGAGAAUUGUUAAUAAAGUCACCAUUGGAGGCAACAAGUUGAGUAAAACAAGAAAAAAUGUUUUUUUUAUUAUCAAAAAUGUAGUAAUUGGUUCACUAGAAUGUUAAUUUAACAUUUUAUCUUCUCACCAAGCACAUUUAUGAGAAGGGAUGAAAGUAUCAAGGUGGAAAUGUGAAACAGUCCAACAUGCCAUCCAGCAAGAUGAUGUUUCAUGUAGUGCGUUUGCUCUCAAAGUGCUGUUUUCAACAAAAAUGUGUACUUGACUAGGAUUACUUAUUUUCUAUGUAAUGUGGAACAUUGUGUAAUAUAUAACCUUGUUAAUUUAUAUAACCUUAAUGUCUUCUGUGCUCUCUCUUUCCACAAACAUCUAUAUCUAUAGAUAGAUAGCUUUAUCUUUGUCAUGAUUUUUGGUUUUGGUGAUGGU